GCGAAGGCGCCCGGCUGGAACGGGUCCGACGGUGAGGGACGAAGGCCAGGGGAGCNAACCGGAUUAGAUACCCGGGUAGUCCUGGCUGUAAACGAUGCGGGCUAGGUGUCACCAGAGCCACGAGCUCCGGUGGUGCCGGAGGGAAGCCGUUAAGCCCGCCCGCCUGGGAAGUACGGCCGCAAGGCUGAAACUUAAAGGAAUUGGCGGGGGAGCACUACAACGGGUGGAGCCUGCGGUUCAAUUGGAUUCAACGCCGGGAAGCUUACCGGGGGAGACAGCUGGAUGAAGGUCGGGCUGAAGACCCUACCAGACUAGCUGAGAGGUGGUGCAUGGCCGCCGUCAGUUCGUACUGUGAAGCAUCCUGUUAAGUCAGNCAACGAGCGAGACCCGCGCCCUCAGUUGCCAGCGGAUCCCUUCGGGGAUGCCGGGCACACUGAGGGGACUGCCGGCGCUAAGCCGGAGGAAGGUGCGGGCAACGGCAGGUCCGUAUGCCCCGAAUCCCCCGGGCUACACGCGGGCUACAAUGGCCGGGACAAUGGGUACCGACCCCGAAAGGGGUAGGUAAUCCCCUAAACCCGGUCUAACCUGGGAUCGAGGGCUGCAACUCGCCCUCGUGAACCUGGAAUCC
rnacentral:rRNA from 1 species